GCUUUCUCUCCCGGCCUCAUGCGUUUCCCCCCCCUCGCGGCGCUCGCCCGCUCUCCCUCGCUCUCGCUCUGUCUUUUUUGGGCGCCAUGCUGAGGGGAAGACCAUACUUUGCCUUUUAAAAGAAAUGCCACCCACAUUCAGAGACACAAGUGCAGCAGUUUGGGAAGAUGGAGAGUUGGAAGAAGGCGAAUUGGAAGAUGAUGGGGCAGAGGAGACCCAGGACACCUCCGGAGGGCCUGAGAGAAGCCGGAAAGAAAAGGGGGAGAAGCAUCACAGUGAUUCGGACGAGGAGAAGUCCCACAGGAGACUGAAGCGGAAACGGAAGAAAGAGCGGGAGAAAGAGAAAAGGAGGUCGAAGAAGAGGAGGAAAUCCAAGCACAAACGCCAUGCUUCUUCUAGCGAUGACUUCUCUGACUUCUCAGAUGACUCGGAUUUCAGCCCCAGUGAGAAAGGGCACCGCAAGUACAGAGAGUACAGCCCCCCAUAUGCGCCGUCCCACCAGCAGUACCCCCCAUCGCAUGCCACGCCCCUGCCCAAGAAGGCAUACUCCAAGAUGGACAGCAAGAGUUAUGGCAUGUACGAGGACUACGAGAAUGAGCAGUAUGGAGAAUAUGAGGGCGACGAGGAGGAGGACAUGGGCAAGGAGGACUAUGACGACUUCACC
rnacentral:sRNA from 1 species